rnacentral:rRNA from 1 species
CAGCCGCCACGGGAAUACGUAGGGUGCAAGCGUUAAUCGGAAUUACUGGGCGUAAAGCGUGCGCAGGCGGUUUUGUAAGACAGAGGUGAAAUCCCCGGGCUCAACCUGGGAACUGCCUUUGUGACUGCAAGGCUGGAGUGCGGCAGAGGGGGAUGGGAUUCCGCGUGUAGCAGUGAAAUGCGUAGAUAUGCGGAGGAACACCGAUGGCGAAGGCAAUCCCCUGGGCCUGCACUGACGCUCAUGCACGAAAGCGUGGGGAGCAAACAGGAUUAGAUACCCCUGUAGUCCCUGUCUCUUAUAA